UCCCUGUUUUCACGAAGUGACGGAUAAGAGGAAAAUUUUCACUUUUUUCAAUUUUGAGUUUUUUGCAUUUUUGGACAUCUAUGACUUAUAUCUUGAACCUCAAAAAGUUUCAGAUCACAAAAAUGUCUAAUUACGUUGCUAUGACGACAUGACAUUCAAGAAAAUACCGGGUAAAAGGAUUUCUUGUUUUCACGAAGUGACGGAUAAAGCAGCCGCCAAUACGUGAAAACAAACGAAUACGCUUUGCACUCAAAGAGUUUUUUCACGAAGUGACGGAAGGCAAAUAUUUACAGUUUGGAACAGCCGAAGACCAUGAAAUGAUGCAGUAUAUACAAUAAGCGAUGUUUCAGAGAACAAAUGAGAGAAGUCCUGGAACUGGUACACUUGCUAUUUAACAAUGCUGAUGGUCAGAUACAAUUCCAGGUUAGAUCCAGGGGCCGACACGCUUGUCAGAUGGGUCAUUGAUGAUUCCCUGAACAUCGCAGAUAUGAUCUGAUUUGGUGACAUGACAGUGGAAUUGGUAGUGACUGGAUUUUACAGUGUGCCCUGGUUUUGAACUAUUGAAGUAACCAAACUAGAAACAUCUUCUGAGAACUCUUACUCAAUUCUGAUGAUGAAACUCUGUCUACACUUGUGAAAAUGUGAAGGAGUUGGCUCUACCUCGUGGCCUUUCAGGUUCAGUGCUCUCAUCUAACUUUUUCUUUUUCCAGCUGGGUAACUGAUACCAAUUUUAAUUUUCUUGAGAUUUUGACUUCAACAUAAGUUUAGUUUCAAUUUUGAUAGGACUUUCAAAUCUGGUUUCAUUUUUAGAGCAGUGUAUUAUAUAAAGAAACUAUACUGCUUGAACUAUAAGUCUCUGCUCUUAUAGUGAUAUGAUUAUGAACUCCUUUAAAAAUAUUUUAUAUAUACAGUCAAAUAUAAAGUUCAGAAUAGUCACUUAUCUGCU